rnacentral:tRNA from 1 species
CAGAGGGAUGGUCUGUUGUCUGGUCGACAGCGUUUGUGGCGCGGAUUGGGUGCUGGUCAUGGGGUGCGACGCCUCGGCUUUUUGA